AAUCCGGCUUCGUCGGCUUCUCGGAGCAUAUUAGAGAGGCUGUCUUUCGCUUCGCAUCAGCCGAAGUUGGUCAGGCACUCAGAUGUCUGUCCUGACCAAGGUUCUACUGCCACCUCAGAGUAUCAGAAAGGGCCAACUGAAACCAGUUCAACUGCAAUUAAGCCAUGCAAUGAUAUCGAAGGUACAUUUUUUACUUUGUUAGUAAGAUAAGAAGCAGCAAUUGUUACAUAGUGCAAGUAAGAUUUACGGUUCAAUUUUCGGCCUCCCAUUUUUCUGUAAACUGAUAUGAACUAUCGCACACAGCUAUUCCUACAGUUCAGGCGGUCUCUGUGCGAGAUGUGGGCACAGAAAUGACUCCAAUACCAAGUCAAGAUCCAUCAAGAACAGGAACACCACUUGGGUCUGUGACACCGACUCGGAGCCCUAAUUGUUCGAUACCAUCAACUCCUGUGGGCGGACUAUCGACAGCAUCGAUAGGAGAAGACAAUGCAGAUGAUGGUCCUUAUUUCAACAGAAAAGGCGGCACGAAUGAGAUGUCAGAGGAUGAAAUCAGGCUCAAGGCAAGGAAAGAAAUUGCUGCCCUAGGUGUACAACUAGGAAAGAUGAACAUCGCUUCAUGGGCUAGCAAAGAGGAGCUAGAAUUGGUCUCUGCGACGCCAAGCAUUGCUGAUUUGGAGCGAAUGAAGCAGGAAUAUGCUACUCGUGCGGCAGCAUUCGAGGACGCUGAAAAUUCUAAGCAUACAGCACGGUAUGUUCCAUCAGACUAUCUGAUACCCCUAGUCGUUUGUUCUACCAGUGAGCUACAAAAGGAGAUAGAAACAGAAUUAAAUUUUGUAAAUAUUGGUUUUCUUCAUCUUAUUUGACAUGGUAUUGUUUUGCUUAGAUUCAAGAAGGAAGAGCUGAAGAUCGAAGCAUGGGAGAGCCGCCAAAGAACAAAAGUUGAAUCUGAAAUGAAGAGACUAGAGGUGCAUUUCCACUGCAUUUCACUAUCAUCUGCAUACCAGCUGCUUUUGUUUGCACCAACACAAUACUUUGAAUACAUAUCAUACUCUUUAGGAGUAGCAUGUAGCUUAGUGAUGACAAAUCGUUCUAUGGCAGGAACGCGCGGAGAAAAUGAGAAGCGAGGCCAUGGCAAGGAUGGCGGAAAGGCUCGAGCUGGCACGCCGCGUGGCGGAGGAGAAGCGGGCAUCAGCCAACGCCAAGAUGAACAAGCAAGCAGCAAGGGCAGUUCAGAAGGCCGAUCUGAUCCGCCAGACAGGACGGAUUCCAGGGUCACGUAUCCUAUGCUGUGGCUGUUUCUGUGAACCUUAGCACUUGUUGAAGAACUAGCCUGUUAAAAUAUGGUCGUGAGAGGAAUCUAACUUCCUCGUUCUGCAGUCAGCAUUCCUUGGUUUUUUAGUAUGCGAAAGGGAAUGUCUGGUCUAGGUGAUUGAGAUGUACACAUUCUUCAUUGUCAUAUAAAUAAUUUGCUUAGUGUGAGGUGUGCCAAGUUCUUGUUCUUUUUCUGAAGAAAAAGGUUCCUAUAAGCUGUUCUUCAGUGGGCUAACAAUAUGACUGAUGGAAUCACUCACCUUUCUGAUGAACCAAGUUAUGGGUCAAGCCAUCUUUCUGGGAUCUUUUGCAUAAAGUGGCGCUGCUGCUGUGAGCCGUUGGUUGUUCAUCUGUCUCGGUUCUGCGCUGCUGCUCACGGGUC
rnacentral:lncRNA from 1 species